GGCGGAGUAGCUUAACGAAAACAGAGCGUCUGUCUUGUAAACAGAACGAUGCGAGUUCAAAUCUCGCCUUCGCCUCCA
rnacentral:tRNA from 1 species